ACCUGAAAGAGUUUAGGAAUCCGGGCGGUUACAGGGCAUCCGUACAACAGUUGAACAGUCUUGUUACGGAUAUACAGGCAGACAACGUGGAUGGACGCAUUAAUUGCCGCUUUAGACGACCGUUGUCGAACGAGGGAGACACCGAUCACCUUGAUCUGACCUUGGACUAUUAUUUCUUCUUUACAACCGGAAAGGUGUCCAGUGAGGGAAACCUUCGUAAGCACGACGACAGUCCACACGUGACGGAUGAGAAGCACAACCUCACCUUCACCCGAGUAGAAAAAUUUAUCGAGAAAAAACACAAAUCGGCUGCAAUGUCCUUUUGUCUGGAGCUUAUUGUCAUGUUUGUCGCGACUGUAGCCAUAAUGGAGUGCUGUUAAAGUUCGAUUCAGGACUUAAAAACUGUUAGCAUGUAGGCCUAUUCGCUAAUUUCUAUACGAAUGUAUUUACUUAGAGCUGUUCUCCUAUUGUUAUUUAUUGCUGCUGUGUCUGUAUAAACUUGGUGCGGAUGUGAUAUAUUUACACAUAUCUCUAUUAGCUAGAUUAUCGAUAUUCUGCACAUUAAUAGUAGAAGUGCGCGCUUUCGGCUCAGAAUUGUAAGAAAUAUUUUUUACGAGUAUUGUA